rnacentral:lncRNA from 1 species
CCACGGACAAUGCACUUAUUUUUAAACGAGCAUGACAUGAGGUGUGUUUAUAAAUUAUCAGGGAUUUUAUGUAUUGUACAUAGAUGACAAUAGGAAAUUGUUUAUUUCAAGAAAUAGCUUUGUUACAGUAAAAUAUUUGUCAUUUAAAACCCAGCUGUUUAGCAAGGAGUGUUGGCUCACACCUACAAUCCCAGCAUUUGGGAAGCUGAGGCAAGCAGAUUACCACAAGUUUGAAACCAACCUUGGCUGCAUACAGAUGAUGUAUAUAUAGGCCAGCAUGGGUUACACUGUCUGUCUUAGCAAACAAAAUUUCAACUGUUUGAGAAAGAUUUUGUUCUGAUCUAAUGAAUGUGGACAUUUAAAUUUUUUAUCUGUUUUUUAAUGGCAACUUUGGAAAUAAGUAACUUGCGGUGAUAAAUCUUUUUAAAGGCAACUCAGUAUUUUUUAAAGGACAAAAUAAACUGACUGAAGGGUUCGCUACUUCCAGUCACAACCUGUGUAUAGAAGAAAGAAAGGGUCAGUGAUCGAGAAUCAGACACUCUCGUUCAGGAGGAGGCUUCUCGCCUGAAACAAUUGCACCCAACACUUUUGGGGAAGUCUCAUUUUUGCAUUAGGACAUAUUUUAGGUUAAACAAAAGCAUAUUUUAGAAACAGACAAAAGCCAACUGAAAAUCGUGGAUGAAUAGUUACUCUGGACAGGACUUUUGACAUGUCUUGCUCUGUGGAAUUUUGUGCUUACUACUGUAUAGUGCAUGUGGCUUAGGUUACCCUAGCUGGUUUUGUCCGUGUAAACAUUGAAAGUAUUAUAUUUUUAUAGAAAUGUUUAUUUUUAAUGAUGUAAGAAAAAUUUUCCUUAGGCCGCAGAAAUCCUGCACUGUGAGCAUUUCAGAAGAGGUAUGUGAGACCCAGUUCAACGACAGCAUGAUUUUUUAAAUGGCUGUAAGUUAUGAUAAGGAAAUGUACUGAUUGCCAGUGCACUCCACCCUCAUUACGUCACCAGGACUUGAAGCCAAGGGUUAAGAGGGCAAGCUAUGACAUGGGUGUGUGGUCUGCUGAAACCCAAUCGUUGAACUUGGCUGUUGUUACAGGAAAAUGAUGGCAUCAACAGGUCUUUGAUGGUGGUGGAGCAUAUCAGAACACAUAAGGAACUGUAGCCCAGAUUUAUUUCAAUUCAAAUAUUACUGCUUCGUAAUUAUGAAGAGUAGUGCAAAUUUACAGAGCACUGUCAAAGACUGACAGAAAAAAAAAAGAUCUGCUCUGUAGAAAGAAUUGUCUGCCAUUACAGGGUCAAGAAAAUGAAUGCGCCAAUAACAGUAAGAGCUGUGGAAGACACCCAUACCUGUAUAUACAUGCUCGAGAAAGCUGUAAUGUGAAAAUCAUGUUCUCUAUUUAUGACUCUUCCUAGGGCAAUGUGUCUGGACAGAUUGUAAGAGUAAGUCAUUUUCCUAAAGAAUUAGAUAUUUGUCACUGCCUAUACCUGCAGUUGAGCUGAAUGGUACUCCAUGUGUUAAUAAUUGUUCUGAUGAAUCAUACAGUUGAAAUAAAGUGACGUAACAUCUUG